rnacentral:rRNA from 1 species
UGCGUAGGCGGAUUGAUAAGUCAGUGGUGAAAACCUUCAGCUUAACUGGAGACUUGCCAUUGAUACUGUUAGUCUUGAGUACGGUCAAGGUAGGCGGAAUGUGUAAUGUAGCGGUGAAAUGCUUAGAUAUUACACAAAACACCGAUUGCGAAGGCAGCUUACUGGGCCAUUACUGACGCUGAGGCACGAAAGCGUGGGGAGCGAACAGGAUUAGAUACCCUGGUAGUCC